AUAAACUAAAACUUUCAACAACGGAUCUCUUGGUUCUGGCAUCGAUGAAGAACGCAGCGAAAUGCGAUAAGUAAUGUGAAUUGCAGAAUUCAGUGAAUCAUCGAAUCUUUGAACGCACAUUGCGCCCCUUGGUAUUCCGGGGGGCAUGCCUGUUCGAG
rnacentral:rRNA from 2 species